rnacentral:rRNA from 1 species
GAUGAACGCUGGCGGCGUGCUUAAUACAUGCAAGUCGAGCGAACAGACGAGGAGCUUGCUCCUCUGACGUUAGCGGCGGACGGGUGAGUAACACGUGGAUAAUCUACCUAUAAGACUGGGAUAACUUCGGGAAACCGGAGCUAAUACCGGAUAAUAUAUUGAACCGCAUGGUUCAAUAGUGAAAGACGGUUUUGCUGUCACUUAUAGAUGGAUCCGCGCCGCAUUAGCUAGUUGGUAAGGUAACGGCCUACCAAGGCAACGAUGCGUAGCCGACCUGGGAGGGUGAUCGGCCACACUGGAACUUAGACACGGACCAGACUACUACGGGACGCAGCAGAAGGGAAUCUGCCGCAAUAGGCGAGAGCCUUACAGAGCAACGCCGAGUGAAUUAUAACAGUCUUCGGAUCGUAAAAAUCUCUUAUUAGUGAAGAACAAAUGUGUAAGUAAAUAUGCACGUCUUGACGGUACCUAAUCAGAAAGCCACGGCUAACUACGUG